GAUGAACGCUGGCGGCGUGCCUAAUACAUGCAAGUCGAGCGAACAGAUAAGGAGCUUGCUCCUUUGACGUUAGCGGCGGACGGGUGAGUAACACGUGGAUAACCUACCUAUAAGACUGGGAUAACUUCGGGAGACAGGAGAUAAUACCAGAUAACAUAUUCAACGGCAGGGAUCAAUAGUGAAAGGCGGCUUUGCCGUCAGAUAGAGAUGGUUCCGCGUCGGAUUAGCUAGUUGGUAAGGUAACGGCUUACCAAGGCGACGAUCCGUAGCCGACCUGAGAGGAUGAUCGGCCACACUGGAACUGAGACACGGUCCAGACUCCUACGGGAGGCAGCAGUGGGGAAUCUUCCGCAAUGGGCGCAAGCCUGACGCAGCCAUACCGCGUGAGUGAAGAAGGCCUUCGGGUUGUAAAGCCCUUUUAUUAGGGAAGAAAAAAUGUAGAAGUAACUGUGGACAUCUUGACGGUACCUGAUCAGAAAGCAACGGCUAACUACGUG
rnacentral:rRNA from 1 species